rnacentral:lncRNA from 1 species
ACUAUCUUGCUGUCCUUCAUCUCUCCGGAGAUGGAACUUUUCUCUGCAUUUCUCCAGUUGCUUUUUUCCCCCUGCUACUUUCUCGGCUUCAUUCGCUGUCUCUGCAAAUCCUCCAUCCACUCUCUACUUUGCCAUCUGCUUACGGCUCUCCCUCAAUCUUCUUUUCUCCUUCAAAAUUUUUCUCUUUCUUCUCCCUCGCUCUCCGUCUCUCUUUCUGCACACAUUCACAUGGAAGGAAUUGGGAUCCGAUGUCCACAAGCAGAACACCUUUUCAGUGGGGUGUUAUUUGGCCCGCAAGAACACUGGAUGUCAAGAGACAGAGAGGUGACUACAUGGCCCUGUGGCAGAAGGACGGGGGACAGGACCCGCCGCCGAGCGAUUUAAACACACAGGGAAGCGACCGCCUGACUCUCACGGAGACGCCUGAAUUUGGUCGGGGUAGAGGGAGCGGUGCGAGGAUUUCAAGGUCUGUGUGGCCCCUCAGAUCCCGGGUACAGAAGCGCGGGGGAGUUGGGAAGCGCAGAUUAAUUUACACAAAGGGAAACUCACGCGCCGCGGCGUGACCUUCACUCCACGCGAUCCGCUUCCGGGUUUGUGGGAAACUGCGCGCGCAGCGGAGGGGUCCGAGCGGGGCGGGGGCGGGGGCGGGGGCGGGGGCGGGGGCGGGGGCGGGGGCGGGGGCGGGGGCGGGGGCGGGGGCGGGGGCGGGGGCGGGGGCGGGGCGGAGUGGGGCUUGCGCUUCCCUCCGCCUCGCUUCCAGUGCCUCUGUUUUCCGGGUUUUGCCGGGGAGACCUGUCAAGGAGACUGGAGCAACUCAGCUGUCUCGGAACUGUACUCUUGCCGGGACUGAGCAAAGUCGGCUAAUGAUUAGAUCCAGGAAAAUUCCUGCUAUUAAAGUUAAUCUUAAGCCGACCGUGCGGUCGGGCACCUGUAGUCCCGGCUACCCCGAAGACUGAGGCGGGAGGAUCGCUUGAGCCCAGGAGUUCGAGUUUACACUGAGUUAUGACGGCCACUGCACUCCAGCUUGGGCGACAGAGACUCAGUCUCUCAAAUAAAUACAUAAAAAACUAAAUUUAGCAAUUUAAUUAAGCCCUGGGAUUGUCUGUGAAAGCGACGCAAGUUAAUACAUGAACUGCAAAGCCCUGCCUGGGCAGAAUGUGCAAUUUCAUGCUGACGGCCCACAAAGCAGAAUAGAAAUCCUCUCCUUUUCUAUUCCCUGUUCUUUCGGGAGGGACAGAGGUAACCCUGUGCUCAGCUCCAGAGAGUUUUCUAGUGACAGCACCAGGGGCAUGGAGGGCUAAGGCCAGUGAGAAUUUAGGUCACCAAUUGUUGGUUUUAAAAAAGCAUUAACCGGGCGAGGUGGCUCACACCUGUAAUCCCAGCACUUUGGGAGGUCAAGGCAGGUGGAUCAUUUGAGGUCAGGAGUUCGAGACCAGCCUGGCCAACACGGUAAAACCCCAUCUCUACUAAAAAUACAAAAAUUAGCUGGGCAUGGUGGCAUACGCGUGUAAUCCCAGCUACUCAGGAAGCUGAGGCAGGAGAAUCGCUUGAACCUGGGAGGCGGAGGUUGCAGUGAGCUGAGAUUGUGCCACUGCACUCCAGACCAGGCAACAGAACAAGACUCUGUCUCAAAAAAAAAAAAAAAAAGUCAAAAAAUAUGUUAAUUUAACAUUCUCAGGAUUUUAAAACUACAAAAUGCUGAUGAAAGAAAUCAAAGACACCCAGAUAGAGACAUAUACAAUAUCAAUUUAUUGAUAAACUCAACAUAGAAAAAAAUGUGAAAUUACCCCAAAUUGAUACACAGGGUUAAUAUAUUUACUAUCAAGGCACUUCGUAGAUACUGACAAGAUUAUCCAAACAAUUAUGUAGAAAAGCAAAAAACAAAACAAACCAACAGAAAUCCCAAAAAACCUGGAAUAGCUCAAACAUCUGAAAAAAAAGAUAGAGCAGCAUGCUCCCGGGAGGUGAAGGUUGCAGUGAGCUGAGAUCACUCCAUUGCACUCCAGCUUAGGCAACAAGAGUGAAACUCCAUCUCAAAAAAAUAAAUAAUAAAAUAAAUAAAUAAAAUAAAGAUAAAGGGUUGGAAUCACUUCACGUUACUUCAAGUCCUCUAAUAUAGUGAAAGCAUUUUUUCCUUUUUCAUAUUUACAAUAAAACGUUUAUACCUGCCAUUGUCUUGUGCAUACUCUUGUCAAAAAAUAUUGUCUCCAAACAACAGUCUCAUUUUUGUGUCCCCUAAAAUUUUCACUAGAGUGACAUUCGGAAAAAAUGUAUUAAGCAUAGCAUCUGGCCGGGCAUGGUGGCUCAUGCCUGUAAUCCCAACACUUUGGGAGGCCGAAGCGGGUGGAUCACCUGAAGUCAGGAGUUCAAGACCAUGCCUGGCCAACAUGGUGAAACCCCAUCUCUAUUACAAAUACAAAAAUUAGCCAGGUGUGGUGAUGGUGCAUGUCUGUAAUCCCAGCUAUUCGGGAGGCCGAGGCAGGAGAAUCACUUGAGCCUGGGAGGCGGAGGCUGCAAUGAGCCAAGAUCACACCGCUGCACUCCAGCCUGGGUGACAGAGCAAGACUCUGUCUCAAAAAAAAAAACAAACAAGCAUAGCAUCUGGAUGCAAUGUACAGAAAAAGAAAAAAGUAAAAAAAAAAUAUUAUAUAUGUGUCUAUACGUGCAUAUAUAAACACAAAAUAUAAUUUUAUUAGAGUUGAAAAUGAACCAUGGAAUAUAUUGCUUGAUGCUGUAACGGGAAAAUGACAUUUCCAUAGCUUUUGGAAAAAUGCUCUUCUAGUAAUAUCAUAUUUAUAACAAAUAUAUUUUAAUCAUAUUAUAUAAUACAUUAUAUUUAUUAUAAACCCACACACUAAUUUUCAUUGUCUACUAUAAAAAGUAUCUUAGGCAAUUUUACUAAAAAAAUUUCACAAGUGUUUUCAACAAUCAUAUUGUGCAAUGAGACCUGUAUCUGUAACUAUAAAAGGAACGUAAGAUAUUAUCAUGAAGAAAAUCAGAGUCUUUCCUAACCAAGAUGGCAGGAGCUUCCAGAGGAAGCUAGAGUUGUCCUAGAGUUGACUGCAUUUUGUGAUGUCUGAACACCAACGCCUUUUACACCUCUGCACUCCCUCUUCCUAUUCUGCCCAUCUGGUCAACUGAAAAAUCCUCAGUGCCCACUCCUUUGGCACCAGCUGAAAGUUCAAACCACAAGUGGGCACCCCUGCCCAAGCCCUAUCCCUUAACAAUCAUCAUACCCCAAGCCAGUCACCUAUGCCGAUUCCCUAGUCAUAUUUGGACCAACCGGGGAAGUCUACCCUGCUCUCCCCAGAAAGCCUCAUUAUGGAGUAAACAUUUUGAGAUCACAUUAGUGAAUGGCAUCAUCAUUCUCAAUACCCAAACCAAACUUCAGGUGGAUGUCAAAGCAGUUCCAGAAGAAUGAUCAAAAGUUCAAAUUACCAAAAAGGUUAUAAGGGUGAAAAUGUGAAGUUUCUAGUUAAUCUACCAAAGCAAAACGAAAUUCCCAAUCUGUGUGUUCAUCCUCAAGAGAACAUUUCUGAACAUUAAUAUUUUUUCAAAUUAUGUCACUGAGCGCUACGAGGUCAACAGCAAGAUUGUUACAAUAUUUUCAUCCUGAAGUCCACACUUUGUCCUAUUUUCCAUAUUACUGUAUCUGUAUUUUCGCUUCCUGAAAAUGAAGGUGCCUGCCAUGGGUCUUACUUGGCACACAAGAAAAAGGCACACAGAAACAUAAUACAGUGCAUGUUUAUCAACAGUGAUGAACAUUGAGGGCAUAUGAUGAUGAAGCUGCACUGUUAUGUGAUUUUCACUUUACCCACAAAAGCAUCUUAGGGCAGAGUAGAGAGGUAGGCCAAGUGUGGUGGCUCAUGCCUAUAAUCCCAGCACUUUGGGAGGCCGAGGUGGGCAGAUCACCUGAGGUCAGGAGUUCGAGACCAGCCUCACCAAUAUGGAGAAACCCUGUCUCUACUAAAAAAACAAAAUUAGCUGGGCAUGGUGGCACAUGCAUGUAAUCCCAGCUACUCGGGAGGCUGAGGCAGGAGAAUCACUUGAACCUGGAAGGCGGAGGUUGCGGUGAGCCGAGAUCACACCAUUGCACUCCAGCCUGGGAAACAAGAGCGAAACUCCAUCUCAAAACAAAACAAAACAAACAAAAAACAAAAACAAAGAGUAGAGAGAAUAACUUAAGUACUAAGUAUUAUUACCCAAAAUCAUACUUACCCAAGUGUAUAUACCCAAAAGUGCAUGUCAUUUCAUUUCACACACAAAAUUGUUGUGGAUGCUUCAACCUUAAAAAUCCUGGCCAGGCGCCGUGGCUCAUGCCUGUAAUCUUAGCACUUCGGGAACCCGAGGUGGCUGGAUCACCCGAGGUCAGGACUUCGAGACCGGCCUGGCCAACAUGGUGAAACCCCAUCUCUACUAAAAAUACAAAAAAAUUAGCCGGGUAUGGUGGUGCAUGCCUGUAAUCCAGCUACUUGGGAGGUGUAGACAGGAGAAUCACUUGAACCCGGGAGGCAGAGGAUGCAGUGAGCCAAGAUCGUGCCAUUGCACUUCAGCCUGAGUGACAGAGCAAAACUUCAUCUCAAAAAAAAAAAAAAAAAAGGAAUACUAUGCAGCCAUAAAAAGGAUGAGUUCAUGUCCUUUGCAGGGACAUUGAUGAAGCUGGAAACCAUCAUUCUCAGCAAACUAUCACAGUGACAGAAGACCAAACACCCCAUGUUCUCACUCAUAGGUGGGAAUUGAUCAAUGAGAACACCUGGACACAAGGCGGGUAACAUCACACACCGGGGCCUGUCGGGGGGUGGGGGGCUGGCAGAGGGAUAACAUUAGGAGAAAUAUCUAACGUAAAUGACAAGUUGAUGGGUGCAGCAAACGAAUAUGGCACAUGUAUACCUAUGUAACAAACCUGCAUGUUG